CCCUUAGAUGUUCUGGGCCGCACGCGCGCUACACUGAUGCAUUCAACGAGCCUAUCCUUGACCGACAGGUCCGGGUAAUCUUUGAAUCUGCAUCGUGACGGGGAUAGAUUAUUGCAAUUAUUAAUCUUCAACGAGGAAUGCCUAGUAGGCGCAAGUCAUCAGCUUGCGUCGAUUACGUCCUUGCCCUUUGUACACACCGCCCGUCGCUCCUACCGAUUGGGUGUGCUGGUGAAAUGUUCGGAUCGGCCGUUUGUCGCGGUUUCCGCGGCUCGUGGCUGAGAAGUUCAUUAAACCCUCCCACCUAGAGGAAGGAGAAGUCGUAACA
rnacentral:rRNA from 1 species